GUGAGCAGGUAGAGGAAGUAAGAUGGAGGUACAGUGAGCAGGUAGAGGAAGUAAGAUGGAGGUACAGUGAGCA